rnacentral:rRNA from 1 species
UACGUAGGGUGCAAGCGUUGUCCGGAAUUAUUGGGCGUAAAGAGCUCGUAGGCGGUUUGUCGCGUCUGCUGUGAAAACCCGAGGCUCAACCUCGGGCCUGCAGUGGGUACGGGCAGACUAGAGUGCGGUAGGGGAGAUUGGAAUUCCUGGUGUAGCGGUGGAAUGCGCAGAUAUCAGGAGGAACACCAAUGGCGAAGGCAGAUCUCUGGGCCGUAACUGACGCUGAGGCACGAAGGUCAGGGGAGCAAACGGG